rnacentral:lncRNA from 1 species
UGUUGAUGAUGGCAAGGGCGAGGAGGUGGGGAACCAGAAGGUUGCUGUUGAUGGUAAUGCUUUCAACCUGAUUACUGCUGCAGGGAAUGAGAACUUUGUGGUAUCCGGACCAUUGAAAGAAGAGACCGAUGUAGAAUUCAUCCAGAAGAGAGCUGCUGUUGAGCCUGAAAUGAUGCCGAACCAGCGUGUUUUUACCUGCGAUAACAUGCAGUGCAUGCAUAAUGAUGUCCGUUUCGGAUUUACAGACAGGAAUUCGAGAAACACUCACCAGUACCUCUGCAAAAAUCAGCAGAGUCUUUCUCAAGGUAUCUCAGCAACCACUGGUGGCAUGCAGAUGAACGAGAACAAACCCCCAGUUUUCUUUGUGCCCUUAAAUGCCCAGCCAAAUCCCACUGGUCUUGGAUCAAGUGUCAAUCCUAUCAACAUCUCCGAUCUGGGUAUUCCUGCUGAUGGGCAAAAAACGAUCAAUGAACUGAUGAGCUUCUAUGAGAACACCAUCAAUCCUAACAAGAACCAGGGAGGCAUGACUAUGUUGGAUGGGCAGAAUUCUCUUCAGCAGAAGCUUCAAAUGGAGGAUAACUUCUUUGGACAGGGGACUGGAAUGGGUGGCAAUGUUUUUGAAGAGGUUGGCAACUUAAUGCAGCAGCAGCAGUUCUAUGGCCGCGAAGACAUGAUGCCGGUUGAACAGCAACUUGGGAACCAGCCUGCUGAUAUGGGCGCUGACAUCAAUUUCGGCUCUGGUUUCAACAUGUCAACCAUGG